GACGUAGGGCGCGAGCGUUGUCCGGAUUUAUUGGGCGUAAAGAGCUCGUAGGCGGCUUGUUAAGUCUUGCGUGAAAUCUCGGGGCUCAACCCCGAGCGGUCGUGAGAAACUGGCAGGCUAGAGUGCGGGAGAGGAGAGUGGAAUUCCUGGUGUAGCGGUGAAAUGCGCAGAUAUCAGGAAGAACACCCGUGGCGAAGGCGGCUCUCUGGAACGCAACUGGACGCUGAAGACGCGAAAAGCGUGGGGGAGCAAACAGG
rnacentral:rRNA from 1 species